GUGAGAUCUUCGGAUUGGGGCCGGCGCGUUCAGCAAUGGGCGCGGCGGAUGCUGAAAAGUCGAUCAAACUUGAUCAUUUAGAGGAAGUAAAAGUCGUAACAAGGUUUCCGUAGGUGAACCUGCGGAAGGAUCAUUACCGUUGUGGAGGCAGAGCCACUGCUCUCGCUUCUCGUGUGCACCAGGCCACGGCCGUGUGGUGUUGGGGGGGGUCCGCUCUGGGAGAGGAGAGCGGUUAAAUGGGCUGUUCCCCCACAACUCUUGUGGCUUUCGGUCCUGCCUCUCUGGGCCGUGGUCCAUGAUUUUUCUUUCUUGCUCUUCCUUUCCUGUUUUCUUGGACAAUGUUGAUUCUUGUUGACAACUUCUAACGGUGGACCCCUCGGCUCGUGCAACGAUGAAGAACGCAGCAAGCUGCGAUACCUAGUGUGAAUUGCAGAAUUCCGUGAAUCAUCGAGUCUUUGAACGCAAAUUGCGCCCUCGGUUUGAAGCCGGGGGCACGCCUGUCUGAGCGUCUGGUAUUGUCAAGGCGGUCCCGAAAGCUCUGGGCUUUUUUGGAUUGCGGUGUUUGAGGGGUCGUCGGUUAGGGCUUCUUUCGAGACUGCAGCGGCGUCCCUUGAAGCGUUUGGGUGGCAGGCGGGUGCUCCGUUUUCUGGUGUCUUGCUUGUCGGGAAUCUUGACAGUGAUGAGGCACGGUUACGGAGCAACUGCUUGUUGCAAUUUGGGCUAUAGAUGGCAGGGUCAUUCCUGCCUCCUUGGACCUCAGCUC
rnacentral:sRNA from 2 species